UGGCGAACGGGUGAGUAACACGUGAGCAAUCUGCCCCUGACUCUGGGAUAAGCGCUGGAAACGGCGUCUAAUACUGGAUAUGAACCGUGGAGGCAUCUUCAACGGUUGGAAAGAUUUUUUGGUCAGGGAUGAGCUCGCGGCCUAUCAGCUUGUUGGUGAGGUAAUGGCUCACCAAGGCGUCGACGGGUAGCCGGCCUGAGAGGGUGACCGGCCACACUGGGACUGAGACACGGCCCAGACUCCUACGGGAGGCAGCAGUGGGGAAUAUUGCACAAUGGGCGCAAGCCUGAUGCAGCAACGCCGCGUGAGGGAUGACGGCCUUCGGGUUGUAAACCUCUUUUAGCAGGGAAGAAGCGAAAGUGACGGUACCUGCAGAAAAAGCGCCGGCUAACUACGUGCCAGCAGCCGCGGUAAUACGUAGGGCGCAAGCGUUAUCCGGAAUUAUUGGGCGUAAAGAGCUCGUAGGCGGUUUGUCGCGUCUGCUGUGAAAUCCCGAGGCUCAACCUCGGGUCUGCAGUGGGUACGGGCAGACUAGAGUGCGGUAGGGGAGAUUGGAAUUCCUGGUGUAGCGGUGGAAUGCGCAGAUAUCAGGAGGAACACCGAUGGCGAAGGCAGAUCUCUGGGCCGUAACUGACGCUGAGGAGCGAAAGGGUGGGGAGCAAACAGGCUUAGAUACCCUGGUAGUCCACCCCGUAAACGUUGGGAACUAGUUGUGGGGUCCAUUCCACGGAUUCCGUGACGCAGCUAACGCAUUAAGUUCCCCGCCUGGGGAGUACGGCCGCAAGGCUAAAACUCAAAGGAAUUGACGGGGACCCGCACAAGCGGCGGAGCAUGCGGAUUAAUUCGAUGCAACGCGAAGAACCUUACCAAGGCUUGACAUAUACGAGAACGCUGCAGAAAUGUAGAACUCUUUGGACACUCGUAAACAGGUGGUGCAUGGUUGUCGUCAGCUCGUGUCGUGAGAUGUUGGGUUAAGUCCCGCAACGAGCGCAACCCUCGUUCUAUGUUGCCAGCACGUAAUGGUGGGAACUCAUGGGAUACUGCCGGGGUCAACUCGGAGGAAGGUGGGGAUGACGUCAAAUCAUCAUGCCCCUUAUGUCUUGGGCUUCACGCAUGCUACAAUGGCCGGUACAAAGGGCUGCAAUACCGUAAGGUGGAGCGAAUCCCAAAAAGCCGGUCCCAGUUCGGAUUGAGGUCUGCAACUCGACCUCAUGAAGUCGGAGUCGCUAGUAAUCGCAGAUCAGCAACGCUGCGGUGAAUACGUUCCCGGGUCUUGUACACACCGCCCGUCAAGUCAUGAAAGUCGGUAACACCUGAAGCCGGUGGCCCAACCCUU
rnacentral:rRNA from 1 species